rnacentral:rRNA from 1 species
UACGUAGGGUGCGAGCGUUGUCCGGAAUUACUGGGCGUAAAGAGCUCGUAGGUGGUUUGUCGCGUUGUUCGUGAAAACUCACAGCUUAACUGUGGGCGUGCGGGCGAUACGGGCAGACUGGAGUACUGCAGGGGAGACUGGAAUUCCUAGUGUAGCGGUGGAAUGCGCAGAUAUCAGGAGGAACACCGGUGGCGAAGGCGGCUAUCUGGACCGACAUUGACGCUGAGGCGCGAAAGCCAGGGGAGCAAACGGG